rnacentral:rRNA from 1 species
GACGAACGCUGGCGGCGUGCUUAACACAUGCAAGUCGAAUGGAAAGGCCCUGCUUGCAGGGUACUCGAGUGGCGAACGGGUGAGUAACACGUGGGUGAUCUGCCCUGCACUUCGGGAUAAGCCUGGGAAACUGGGUCUAAUACCGGAUAGGAGCCAUUUUUAGUGUGAUGGUUGGAAAGUUUUUUCGGUGUAGGAUGAGCUCGCGGCCUAUCAGCUUGUUGGUGGGGUAAUGGCCUACCAAGGCGGCGACGGGUAGCCGGCCUGAGAGGGUGGACGGCCACAUUGGGACUGAGAUACGGCCCAGACUCCUACGGGAGGCAGCAGUGGGGAAUAUUGCACAAUGGGCGCAAGCCUGAUGCAGCGACGCCGCGUGGGGGAUGACGGCCUUCGGGUUGUAAACUCCUUUCGCUAGGGACGAAGCUUUUUGUGACGGUACCUAGAUAAGAAGCACCGGCUAACUACGUG